rnacentral:rRNA from 1 species
UGGGGAAUAUUGGACAAUGGGCGAAAGCCUGAUCCAGCCAUGCCGCAUGAGUGAAGAAGGCCUUUGGGUUGUAAAGCUCUUUUAGUGAGGAAGAUAAUGACGGUACUCACAGAAGAAGUCCUGGCUAACUCCGUGCCAGCAGCCGCGGUAAUACGGAGAGGGCUAGCGUUAUUCGGAAUUAUUGGGCGUAAAGGGCGCGUAGGCUGGUUAAUAAGUUAAAAGUGAAAUCCCGAGGCUUAACCUUGGAAUUGCUUUUAAAACUAUUAAUCUAGAGAUUGAAAGAGGAUAGAGGAAUUCCUGAUGUAGAGGUAAAAUUCGUAAAUAUUGGGAGGAACACCGGUGGCGAAGGCGUCUAUCUGGUUCAAAUCUGACGCUGAAGCGCGAAGGCGUGGGGAGCAAACA